rnacentral:rRNA from 1 species
CAGCCGCCGCGGGAAUACGAGGGGGGCAAGCGUUGUUCGGAAUUAUUGGGCGUAAAGGGUGCGUAGGCGGCUUGACAAGCCUUGUGUGAAAUCUUCGGGCUCAACCCGAAGCCUGCACGAGAAACUACCGGGCUUGAGUAUUGGAGAGGUGAGUGGAAUUACCGGUGUAGCGGUGAAAUGCGUAGAUAUCGGAAGGAACACCUGUGGCGAAAGCGGCUCACUGGACCAUAACUGACGCUGAGGCACGAAAGCUAGGGGAGCAAACAGGAUUAGAUACCCCCGUAGUCCCUGUCUCUUAUAA